rnacentral:rRNA from 1 species
UACGUAGGGUGCGAGCGUUGUCCGGAAUUACUGGGCGUAAAGAGCUCGUAGGCGGCUUGUCGCGUCGACUGUGAAAUCCCGCGGCUCAACUGCGGGUCUGCAGUCGAUACGGGCAGGCUAGAGUUCGGUAGGGGAGACUGGAAUUCCUGGUGUAGCGGUGAAAUGACGCAGAGUAUCAGGAGGAACACCCGGUGGCGAAGGCGGGUCUCUGGGCCGAUACUGACGCUGAGGAGCGAAAGCCAGGGGAGCAAACGGG